rnacentral:rRNA from 1 species
AGUAACGCGUGGGUAACCUGCCUCAUACAGGGGGAUAACAGUUAGAAAUGACUGCUAAUACCGCAUAAGACCACAGCACCGCAUGGUGCAGGGGUAAAAACUCCGGUGGUAUGAGAUGGACUCGCGUCUGAUUAGGUAGUUGGUGGGGUAACGGCCUACCAAGCCGACGAUCAGUAGCCGACCUGAGAGGGUGACCGGCCACAUUGGGACUGAGACACGGCCCAAACUCCUACGGGAGGCAGCAGUGGGGAAUAUUGCACAAUGGGGGAAACCCUGAUGCAGCGACGCCGCGUGAGCGAUGAAGUAUUUCGGUAUGUAAAGCUCUAUCAGCAGGGAAGAAAAUGACGGUACCUGACUAAGAAGCACCGGCUAAAUACGUGCCAGCAGCCGCGGUAAUACGUAUGGUGCAAGCGUUAUCCGGAUUUACUGGGUGUAAAGGGAGCGUAGACGGAGUGGCAAGUCUGAUGUGAAAACCCGGGGCUCAACCCUGGGACUGCAUUGGAAACUGUCAAUCUAGAGUACCGGAGAGGUAAGCGGAAUUCCUAGUGUAGCGGUGAAAUGCGUAGAUAUUAGGAGGAACACCAGUGGCGAAGGCGGCUUACUGGACGGUAACUGACGUUGAGGCUCGAAAGCGUGGGGAGCAAACAGGAUUAGAUACCCUGGUAGUCCACGCCGUAAACGAUGACUACUAGGUGUCGGGCAGCAAAGCUGUUCGGUGCCGCAGCAAACGCAAUAAGUAGUCCACCUGGGGAGUACGUUCGCAAGAAUGAAACUCAAAGGAAUUGACGGGGACCCGCACAAGCGGUGAGCAUGUGGUUUAAUUCGAAGCAACGCGAAGAACCUUACCUGCUCUUGACAUCUCCCUGACCGGCAAGUAAUGUUGCCUUUCCUUCGGGACAGGGAUGACAGGUGGUGCAUGGUUGUCGUCAGCUCGUGUCGUGAGAUGUUGGGUUAAGUCCCGCAACGAGCGCAACCCCUAUCUUUAGUAGCCAGCGGUCAGGCCGGGCACUCUAGAGAGAUUGCCAGGGAUAACCUGGAGGAAGGUGGGGAUGACGUCAAAUCAUCAUGCCCCUUAUGAGCAGGGCUACACACGUGCUACAAUGGCGUAAACAAAGGGAGGCAGAACCGCGAGGUCGAGCAAAUCCCAAAAAUAACGUCUCAGUUCGGAUUGUAGUCUGCAACUCGACUACAUGAAGCUGGAAUCGCUAGUAAUCGCGAAUCAGAAUGUCGCGGUGAAUACGUUCCCGGGUCUUGUACACACCGCCCGUCACACCAUGGGAGUCAGUAACGCCCGAAGUCAGUGACCCAACCGUAAGGAGGGAGCUGCCGAAGGUGGGACCGAUAACUGGGGUGAAGUCGGAACAAGGUA